GAAGGUAUAGUUCAAGUGGUAGAGCACGUGCUUAGCACGCACGAGGUCCUGGGAUCAAUCCCCAGAACAUUUG
rnacentral:tRNA from 1 species